rnacentral:rRNA from 1 species
GCAAGUCGGACGGUAGCACAGAGAGCUUGCUCUUGGGUGACGAGUGGCGGAGGGUGAGUAAUGUCUGGGGAUCUGCCCGAUAGAGGGGGAUAACCACUGGAAACGGUGGCUAAUACCGCAUAACGUCGCAAGACCAAAGAGGGGGACCUUCGGGCCUCUCACUAUCGGAUGAACCCAGAUGGGAUUAGCUAGUAGGCGGGGUAAUGGCCCACCUAGGCGACGAUCCCUAGCUGGUCUGAGAGGAUGACCAGCCACACUGGAACUGAGACACGGUCCAGACUCCUACGGGAGGCAGCAGUGGGGAAUAUUGCACAAUGGGCGCAAGCCUGAUGCAGCCAUGCCGCGUGUAUGAAGAAGGCCUUCGGGUUGUAAAGUACUUUCAGCGGGGAGGAAGGCGGUGAGGUUAAUAACCUCGCCGAUUGACGUUACCCGCAGAAGAAGCACCGGCUAACUCCGUGCCAGCAGCCGCGGUAAUACGGAGGGUGCAAGCGUUAAUCGGAAUUACUGGGCGUAAAGCGCACGCAGGCGGUCUGUUAAGUCAGAUGUGAAAUCCCCGGGCUUAACCUGGGAACUGCAUUUGAAACUGGCAGGCUUGAGUCUCGUAGAGGGGG